GUGCUGGCUCUGGCAGCACAUGUACUAAAACUGGAACAAUAGAAGAUUAGCAUGGCCCCUGGGCAAGGGUGACACCCAAAUUCGUGAAACAUUCCAUAUUAAA
ensembl:snRNA U6 U6 spliceosomal RNA